GGUUCGAUUCUCUGUCAAGGCACGAUAGAUCGUUUUGAGAGAGACCACGGCCCCCCAUAUAGUACACGAAUUAAAAGAUAUGAUGCUGAAAGAGGAAACAACUCUCCAUUUUCCUAGAAGGUCUGGACCCUGAGGUUCAACUCGGCCAAUAAAACAAGACCUCUGCCUCCAAGACUCCAUUCUGCGUCAGCCAAUCACAAGAGGGAACACACCGAAGUUUCCAUCAGCCCAGUAAGCUUUUUUAAAUAGAUACUGUGACUUUUUGUGGAGAAAAUAUGGAAUGCCAUUGAUAGGCUAAAUAAAUAUCGCUACUAUCUCCAGUAUUGAUAGGCCCAUUUUCAGAAAGCCUGCUUUUCUACAGAAAAAAAAAUCUUAAUCAAUUAGUUUUUAUGUCAAAUACGCGCUUUAGGCUACUUUCUUGUAAGUGAUGUUUUGCUUCUGACUCAAAUAAGAGAUUAAUGGUUUUUUUUUAUUUAGUGCAAGAAUAUUUUGUUUUCACAGCAUGUUUCUGUCGCUGACCAUGUGAUCCAGGAUUCACCGGCUCUUCAAAACAGAUUCAAUCAGCUGGAGAAGUCCCUCAAAUCGAGGAGAAGCUACUUGCAGCAUGUUUGUCCGCCUUAAACGACGCUAGUGCGAAAUUUAGACGUUUGAAAGAAAAGAGGUAAGUCUUUACACAAAUAAAAUAAAUGUAAAAAGGCGCAGGCACAAAUUUGCCAUUGAUUAAAGGCAUAAAAAGCAAGGAUGGUUAAUUAUGCAUUAAAACCAUGUGCAUUACUGCACAAUUCUGUUCUCUGUAUUUGAUCAUUUACAUUUACAGUCCACGCAAGAAGAGAAUUCGCAUUUCAGUUAUCACAUUUAAAGAAACGCUCAUAAACGCACAUCGCCAAUUCUUCUAUCAGUUCAUCAGUUCUGUUUCUUUUUACCAGGACUACAAACGGAUUGAUCCACCACACUCGAGUUGGAUCCACAACGUCCCCUACACUGUAUUUGCAUAUUCCAAUUAGGUUUGCGCACCAAACGUUUUGUUUUUGGUGGCAGUCUGGGCAUCUGUUGAUAGAUUAUUAAGCUUUUAUUAUUCUUUUAUGGGUCACAAUGUCCCAUUCAGGGUAUUUGGGACACACGAGGGUGGCAAUUAGUGCACAAUACAACAACACGCACACACACCAACUUGCAUUUCACGUUUUUUUUUUUUUUGCUUGAGGUCUGCUAAAGAUGUGGCUGAAAGGUUCCACUGUGUUUUAGCGCAUCAACAUGAUUCUGAAAGUGAGAGCAAAGACAUUUCAGGGGAAAUCAUCUGCUGCUUGUCGUCACACUCAUUUAACAGAGAAUAAACCUCAGCUCAAAUUCAAACCCACUCGGUUGUGAAAUGAAGUAAAAACGCUCUUAUUUUCUCUCCGUCUUCACAAACAUAAUCCUCUCUAAUCAGCUGUUUCUUUUAAUUAUUGCGGAGUUUCAAUCGUUUGCAGAUAAUUUGCGGCACACUUUUGGACAUCUGGACAGACAAUUACGCAGAGGUGGUGAUGAGUGGACGCGCACGAUGGAAGCGAAGAUAGCCAACAGUCUUCUCAGUGGGACAUGUGGUGAUGAAUAAACAAAUACAUAGGUUGUUCCUAUGGGACUGUUUGGCACCCGUGCGUCAGGCUGCCAGUGACGGUCAAACCCACAGGCCGCAGCAGAUUUAGUGCCGUAAUCUGAGAUAUGAUCAGAAGAUAAUCAUCCCGGUCACAUCAGUUACUGGGCUCGUUGUUGUUUCUGCGCGUCUGGAUGCUUUGUGCAACACACUGCGCAUAGUCUCGCUGCACGAAAAGCGCCUAAGUAAUACAAGGGAAUAAAAUUCAAUUUAAAAAAAACCCCACUGAACAUGUAAUACUAGAACACCAAAAGGAGACAAUCAGUGUUAUUAUUAGUCCAAGACAUUAGAUUUAGCCUUUAUUUGCCUAAUAUGAUGUGAAACUGAAAUUUUAUCUUAAAGAGAAUCAUGAAUAAUAAAAAAAAACGAUCAAUUGUUUGAUGUGCUGGGGGAAAAAAAGUCAAAUGGCCCUGAUGUCAGAGAGAAGGAGCCAGGAGUUGGCCCUGCAUCGACUUAAAUUACCUUCAGCAGCUCAUGAGAAGCGAUUAGAGAGACAUUUCAUUAGAGCUGAAUGAAGAGAUCACUGCCAUAGCGGUAGUUAUGAUAAUGAGGCUUAUACAACGUGCGAACAAGCAGAUGAUUUCCACCAACCACAUCUUUCUACUUCGAUUAGGAUGCAGAGGUUUUUCUACACGGUAUGUAAAAGAGGCAGCAGCUUCUUUACUCAUGGUUCAAAAAUCUAAAAUCAGCUACAAACCAGCUAGAGGGGAAUAAAAUGACCCUAGGUUGUCUGAGAGUUUGGUGGAGUUUGGACAUUUUAUGCUACUGGUUUUACAUUUAAAAUAAUUUCAUUCUGGUUAAGACUAUUACGACAUCGUGUUUGCCAGAACAAGACAUCAGGUUAAACUGCAAGCUGUAAUAAAUAAAUAGCAGUUUAAAGACCAGUUAUAUCACUAUAUCAUGUAUUACAAGUUUUUUUUUUUAAAAGUCU